rnacentral:misc_RNA from 1 species
CGGCACUGUACUGAACCAGCUAGUAGCUGAACUGAGCAUUUCAGAAGUAAAAUCAAAUUCAAAGGAACAACAUAGGAGCAGGGAAUCUUCUGAAGACGAUUUCCAAAUCAUACCACAUAGUAAAGAAAGCCUUAUAAACAGCAUCACAGAGAUCCAUUACGUGGAUGUGGGUUUAAACUCUGCUGGUGCAUAUAUAACUGACCAUAAUGUGAUUGAAAGAAUAUCCAAACGUCUCAUGCAAGGAGCUCCAGGAAUUCGUUUUGUCCUUCAUGGAACACCGAGGCAAUGGUGUGAUAGCAGGCGAGUUUUGAUACGUAAUGAAAAAGACAAAUUGGUUAAUCUGCUCAUGUCCGAAGCUCAAAAGAGUGAAGGGAAACUAGAGGUGUGUGAGAAAUUAUAUUUUGCUGAUAGAACUCCAGAUCUACCGAUGCACUUCGAAAUUAUUGAAAGUAUGGAGGUUAGGUGAGUGUUGAUUUGCAAAUUUUGGUUGGCACUCUUAAUGCUGUAAUUAUACAUGCA